rnacentral:lncRNA from 1 species
AUAGAUGGGGAGGAGAAAUUAUUGCAUGCAUCAAGCGCAAAAAAAUUAGGGCAAAUCCUAGAGUAUAUGCACCAUGAAUAGCACGCGAUCAGAAAUUGGUGAAAUAUAAAGGAUAGUGUGGUGUGUUAUUUACUGUGGGAUUUGAUGCAGUGCAAUUGCAUCUGGUUCAUGCAAUACGGAGACGAUGGGGGAGGAGGAAGACAAGGAUCAGACACGAGGAUUGAUGGCGAUGCGUCGCAAAAAGUGCCUUCCACGUGGCCCUCACGUGCUCCCCAGGAGAAAACCGGUGCCGGUUUGCUCUCAUCUAGAUAAAGCUACCAAGUGAGUCUCAAAGACUCAAACUAUGUAGGAUGAGUUGACGUGGUUCGCAGCACAAAUCUGGUGGGGCC